rnacentral:misc_RNA from 1 species
UUGUGGCUAUGCGAUUAGCGACGUAAAGUUGUGUACAUUAGCUUAUUUUGAGUUAUGAUGUGUUGAUGUUUUUCUCGAAUAUAUACAUUGCGAUUCCUUUGUUGCAACGGCAGUGCAGUUGAGAAGAUUUGUGAAAAAAGAAGGCAAUGCGAUGCAGUUGAUAUUAGAUCCUUCCGGCAGUCAAAAUGGAACUGGAAAAUGAUAACAGCGUUAAAGAGACAGAAACUCGCGUCAAAACACUUCAAGCUACGUUAUUUCCACCACAGAUAACAAGCACUAGUAGCUAUUUUGCCAAUUUCCUUGUGAAAAACCAGUUCGACGAAGACGAUGAAUCGAAAUUUAAGAUCAAAGAGUUACCUUCCAGAGAGUGGUUUCCCAACAACAAAGAUGCUUCUUUCACUUUACAGCCUCCAAGAUGGCCGACAGAAUGCCAGGUACUGGAUAAGAGGGUACAUCACAUAUACGACAUACCGCCAACUUUCGAACCAUACUAUGUUCCUACCGGUAAUGAAAGCCAACCUAAACCAUCUGGCGAAGAAAGUGGAAUUGUUGUCUUUCAAUAUUCACCAAUAAGUGCUGUCAAUUAUUUUAGUAGGUCUAGUGUAGGAGGCAGUAAAUACCUCCUAUCAGCAAAUGUCUGCCCAGAAGAAGAUACCCUAAAAUUUGAAUCAAGAUUUGAGUCAGGAAAUUUAGCUAGGGCCAUUAUGAUAACGCCAAAUUUUUACGAGUUACAUCUGAGAUCAGACCUUUAUACAAAUAGGCACAUGCAAUGGUUCUAUUUCAAGGUCACCAAUGUCAAGAAAUCAUUUUUGUACAGGUUUUCCAUUACCAACUGUUCCAAAGAAAACAGCCUUUAUAAUGAAGGAAUGAGACCUUUGAUGUAUUCCACCAAAGACUCGCAGCUGCACUCUAUAGGCUGGCGGAGGUGCGGACAAAACAUAACCUAUUUUUGUAAUGACAAUGUGACUCCUGAAGACCCCGACCAGCAAAUGACGUACACUUUUACUUUCACUGUCAAAUUUCCUCAUGACGAUGACGAGAUUUAUUUUGCUCACUGCUAUCCAUAUACUUACUCAGAUCUUCAGGACUAUCUAUCAGAACUAUCUUCGCAUCCUGUCAAAUCUACAUACAGUACAGUUAGGCUUCUGUGUAAGAGCUUAGCUGGAAAUAAUGUUUUUUAUGUGACAAUCACCUCUCCAGUUGUUCAGGGAGAAACGAAGAAGAAACGUGCAAUUGUGAUAUCCGCCCGAGUGCAUCCAGGUGAAACUCCUUCAUCCUGGACGAUGAAAGGCAUUCUCGAUUUCCUAACCAGCGACUGUGGACCUGCCAAAGAAUUACGGGACAACUUCAUUUUCAAACUAGUGCCAAUGUUGAAUCCGGAUGGCGUUAUUGUGGGCAACAACCGUUGCUCUUUGUCCGCCAAAGAUUUGAACAGACAAUACAGGACAGUGAUUAGAGAUGCCUACCCUUCCAUAUGGUAUACCAAGCUAAUGGUUAGAAGACUAUUAGAAGAAUGUGGAGUAGCCCUUUAUUGUGAUCUCCAUGCACACUCCAGAAAACACAAUAUCUUCAUCUAUGGUUGUGAAAACAGGAGAGGAGCUGAGAGAAGGCUUCAGGAACAAGUGUUUCCUUUAAUGUUGCACAAAAAUACUGCAGAUAAGUUCUCUUUUGAGAGUUGCAAAUUCAGAAUCCAGAAAGCGAAGGAAGGAACAGGCAGGGUUGUGAUGUGGAUGAUGGGCAUAGCCAAUAGCUACACCAUGGAAGCUUCCUUUGCCGGUUCCACUCUUGGUAACAGAGCCGAUACCCAUUUUUCUACUCAAGACUACGAACAGAUGGGUCGAUCUUUCUGUCAAACUCUCUUAGACUUUUAUGAUGAUGAUCCCAAAAAGGAGAAACUGAGAAUGAAAAUUGUCGAGAGGCUGGUAAAAGAGGGGUCAAACGCAGAUGAACCCAUGAAUAUUCGUCUCAGUGACUAUUCAAGUGAUGAUGGAGAUACAUCCAGCAGCAGCGAUGAGGUGGGACGUGAAGAAGAAGAAGAAUACGUCCAAAUAACUGCCCCACCACCCUCACCGGCAGCGGUGAAGAAGAAAUCCAAGAAAUCUUCUUCCGCAAUAACGAAGGUGGCUUCAAAAAGUCCGACUGUUCCGAGAAAACCGUUGCCAAUAUGCAAAGCUACCUUGAAACUUUCUUUAUCAGACAAAGACAGUUCCGACUCUAGCUCAUCAGAUAGUGAAUCGGAAGUGGAAAAAGUUAAAGAGAAAGUUCGGAUUUUGCGGAGACGAAGGAAGAAAAAGUUAUCUAAGAAGAAAAAGAAAAGGAGUGAAAGCUGGGACCAGUUUGAUCAAAUUCUUGUAAUAGAAAUUCAGCCUGUUCAAGACUACUCUGAUAGCGAAGGACAAGUUAGCAGGACUCAAAGAAGCAUUUCGGUUUUUGAUUUGAUCCCCACUGAAUCGUUGGGAUCCCACCUGUUUAAUAGAAGAUCAAAAACACCGCAACCAAAGCUUGUGGAGAAAAAACCUCAGGUCACCCGACAACUAGCGGAAGUUCAAGCUAAAUUGUACAGCUUGAAAAAUAAAUUGUGGUUUGGAGUAGGCAAUGGUGACGUACCUUUAUCUUGGGGAGGCGGUGAGAGAGCUUACUUUUCCGAUGGUCGGACUUCCUCACCACAGAAUUUUUCAGGAGGAACCAUACUAAAUCUUCUAAGAAAUGUCUGAAAUCGGAUAAGAGGAGCAUAACGAAGGAAGUGAAGCCAAAAACUGAAGGGAAAGAAAAAUCUUUGAAAAACCAAAAUGGAUUGAGAAGACAAGCAAAUGUUGAAUUUUCUUCCCAGCCACAACAAACCGUAAAAGGUUUACUU